ensembl:lncRNA
GGGAAAAGGUGAUCCAGUUGCUGGAGCAGAGAUUCUCCUAUGGCCCAUGGAGAGGAUUACAGUAGAGCAGGUGGAUAUUUCCUGAAGGAGUCAUGGCCUGUGGGUAACUCAGGCUGGAACGGCUUUACCCUGAAGGACUGCAGCCUAUGGGAGAACCCACACUGGAGCAAGGGAAAAGCGUGAGGAUGAGGGAGUGGUGAAGAGCUCUUGUGGACAGACAACAACUCUCAGUCCCCAGUGCCUGGACUACUUGAGCAUGAGGGGAGGAAGAGGAGUUGGCAGCAGAGGAGUGAAGUUGGACCUGGGAAAAAAAGUAAGGAGGAAGUGUUGUAUUAGUAUUAUUUUGUCUUAGUUUCUCAUUACCCAAAUCUAUCUUAAUAGGCAGUAAGUCCAGCUAAUUUUCCUCAGGUUGAGUCUGUUUUACCCAUGAUGGUAACAGACAAGUGAUUCGGUUGCCUUUUUUCUCGAAGCAGGACAUCUUUCUUCCUAUUUUGUGUCUUCUUCCCACCCACUUGAGGAGUGAGAAAGCAGCUGGGUAGGGGGCUGAGGUCAACUCAUCCCACCUGAACAAUUAAGAAGUUAAUUCACUAGUUCUGCCACAUGUUUAGCAUCUGAUACCAAUUGUCUGCCUGUAGUCUAUACUUUUUCUAUACUGUAUUUCAUGCUUUUUUUUUUUUUUUCUUAUCCUCUUGCUAGUUUUUCAGUCUCUGAGCUAGAAGGAGUUGGAAUUGUUCAGGGCUGAAUGAGGAGACAUAAUCUAGUCUGCCUGAAACUAGGGAGGAAUUCAUGAGCGUGGAACAGCUAAACAUGGAACAUAAUGAGCAGAGAGGAACAGAUAAGGCAGGUGAAUGCUUCUUGCUGCACAUGCUGCCUUUCAUCUUAACAUCUAUCUCAAAUGACCUAUCUAUCUGCAGAAAUAUAUUCAGCCCUUGCCAUUUGCCUUUGAUCCAUGUACUGUCUUAGACGAAUUGAUGAUGAAUUGGUGAUGAAUCCAACCUUCAGCUGACUUCCAUGCGCUGCCCUUGCUCUUCUCUGUCACCCAGGGCUGUCUGUCCUCACCUGGCAUCCUCCUCCUGAUGCUCCUCUCCAGCAGUAACAUUUUUCUCAUCUCUGUGUCAUCGUUCAUGUCCUGGGCUUUUGUUCCUCCAGCUCAUUUCCCCCUGCGCCUCUUCUAUUUGUCAAAAUCUUUCCUCCAUUUUCCACCCAGUAACUCCUGAUUUUCCUAUUCUGUCAGUCUCAGCUUCUCCUCCCACCCUUGUGCCUACUCAGGCCAGGCAGUCCCAUAGUUUUUGUCUUGUUCAAAUUCUGUAAGUCCAGCCCUUGUCCCAUCCCUGCUUAAAGCAAAGCUUUGGACAAGGUCACAUGGGAUAUAUGGGAAUCUUGGAGUUCACCUGAAGCCAUGGAGGAAAUAAUGGAAAGUGAGCUUUUAUAAUGACACUUGUGCAUUUUUAACCAGAGAUGAACUAGCAUUCGUAUGUUUAUAAAUUAUUUUCUAUAAAUAUUUUACCAUAUUUUUUUUUUACUAACUGUAUUUUUGCUAUCUGGAGUAGUGUCACAAAAUUGUAUGUGUGUC